rnacentral:tRNA from 1 species
GCCGGAGUGGCGGAAUUGGCAGACGCGCCAGGUUGAGGGCCUGGUGGGAGUUUUAUCCCGUGCAGGUUCAAGUCCUGUCUCCGGCA